rnacentral:rRNA from 1 species
GGAGGGUGCAAGCGUUAUCCGGAUUCNCUGGGUUUAAAGGGUGCGUAGGAGGGUAGGUAAGUCAGUGGUGAAAUCUUCGAGCUUAACUCGGAAACUGCCGUUGAUACUAUCUAUCUUGAAUACCGUGGAGGUGAGCGGAAUAUGUCAUGUAGCGGUGAAAUGCUUAGAUAUGACAUAGAACACCAAUUGCGAAGGCAGCUCGCUACACGAAUAUUGACUCUGAGGCACGAAAGCGUGGGGAUCAAACAGGAUUAGAUACCCUGGUAGUCCACGCCCUAAACGAUGGAUACUCGACAUACGCGAUACACAGUGUGUGUCUGAGCGAAAGCAUUAAGUAUCCCACCUGGGAAGUACGACCGCAAGGUUG